AGUAGUUUGAUCAUGGCUACAGAAUCAACGCUGGCGGCGUGCCUCAGACAUGCAAGUCGAACGAUUAAAGCUCUCUUCGGAGAGUGUAUAGAGUGGCGCACGGGUGAGUAACACGUAAGUAAUCUACCCUCGAGUGGGGAAUAACAACCGGAAACGGUUGCUAAUACCGCAUAAUGCAGCGGCACCGCAAGGUGACAGUUGUUAAAGAUUUAUCGCUUGAGGAGGAGCUUGCGGCAGAUUAGCUAGUUGGUAGGGUAACGGCUUACCAAGGCUACGAUCUGUAACCGGUCUAAGAGGACGGUCGGUCACACUGACACUGAAUAACGGGUCAGACUCCUACGGGAGGCAGCAGUCGGGAAUUUUGGGCAAUGGGCGAAAGCCUGACCCAGCAACGCCGCGUGAAGGAUGAAGUAUUUCGGUAUGUAAACUUCGAAAGAAUAGGAAGAAUUAAUGACGGUACUAUUUAUAAGGUCCGGCUAACUACGUG
rnacentral:rRNA from 1 species